UCUUGUGUUUUCUGCGUUAUAUGUUGCCUUCAAAUGAGGUCGUGUUUACCAUUUUUUCACGAGAAGAGUCCAUAUGAAGGGAAAAAUUUCCGAAAAGUUACAAGUUCAUGAGUUGUGACGUGAAGUUUUCAGAAAUUCUUAGUAAUUUUAUAACAUGAAAACGUUUGUAUUUGUAUUGUAGGCCUAUUUCCUGCUUUACAAACACAACCGUUUUCCAUGUUAU